AUUGAACGCUGGCGGCAGGCUUAACACAUGCAAGUCGAGCGGGGGAGGUUGCUUCGGUAACUGACCUAGCGGCGGACGGGUGAGUAAUGCUUAGGAAUCUGCCUAUUAGUGGGGGACAACAUUCCGAAAGGGAUGCUAAUACCGCAUACGCCCUACGGGGGAAAGCAGGGGAUCUUCGGACCUUGCGCUAAUAGAUGAGCCUAAGUCGGAUUAGUUAGUUGGUGGGGUAAAGGCCUACCAAGGCGACGAUCUGUAGCGGGUCUGAGAGGAUGAUCCGCCACACUGGGACUGAGACACGGCCCAGACUCCUACGGGAGGCAGCAGUGGGGAAUAUUGGACAAUGGGGGGAACCCUGAUCCAGCCAUGCCGCGUGUGUGAAGAAGGCCUUUUGGUUGUAAAGCACUUUAAGCGAGGAGGAGGCGCUCUAGGAUAAUACCCUAGAUGCGUGGACGUUACUCGCAGAAUAAGCACCGGCUAACUCUGUGCCAGCCGCCGCAGUAAUAC
rnacentral:rRNA from 1 species